UGGGACCGCAGGCAUGCCUGGCUAAUUUUUGUAUUUUUUGUAGAGAAGACGGGGUCUCCCUAUGUUGCCCAGGCUGGUAACACAGUGUAACCUGAUGUGCUUCCCUGGGAACCCAGCCUGACAGAAACUGCAGCUGAACAGCAGCAAAAGUGUUGGAAAGGGCAAAGAAAUUACAAGAACAGCGAGAAAAGGAAAUGGUUGAAAAACAAAAACAACAAGAAAUAGCUGCAGCUGCAGCUACUGGAGGUUCUGUUCUCAAUGUUGCUGCCCUGUUGGCAUCAGGAACACAAGUAACACCUCAGAUAGCCAUGGCAGCUCAGAUGGCAGCCCUGCAAGCUAAAGCUUUGGCAGAGACAGGAAUAGCUGUUCCUAGCUACUAUAACCCAGCCGCUGUUAAUCCAAUGAAAUUUGCUGAACAAGAGAAAAAAAGGAAAAUGCUUUGGCAGGGCAAGAAAGAAGGGGACAAAUCCCAAUCUGCUGAAAUAUGGGAAAAAUUGAAUUUUGGAAACAAGGACCAAAAUGUCAAAUUUAGGAAAUUGAUGGGUAUUAAGAGUGAAGAUGAAGCUGGAUGUAGCUCAGUUGAUGAAGAAAGUUACAAGACUCUGAAGCAGCAGGAAGAAGUAUUUCGAAAUUUAGAUGCUCAGUAUGAAAUGGCAAGAUCACAAACCCACACACAAAGAGGAAUGGGUUUGGGUUUCACAUCUUCAAUGCGAGGAAUGGAUGCAGUUUGAAAAUGAUCACACUUGUAAAGUUUGGGACUUAUAGACUUCUUGUUCUGAUGUCACGUCCUUGUUCACCAAACAGCUAGCACUCUAGCUUGCAUGGGUGUUGCAUUGACUUUAAUUUAUUGAAAAAUACAAAUUUUUGUAAAUAUCAGAUCAGUGAUACUGGUGUUAGUGUUGUAAUCAGGUUAAACCCACUUCCAUUA
rnacentral:sRNA from 1 species